AUAAUUAUAAUAAAAAAGCAAAAGGGUAAUAGGUUGAGAACAAUGUCGUUCGGUGUAUUCUUAGGAAAUAAUGUCUCUCUUCCAAAGUGUCACCUUUUUCUACGCACACCAGUGGCGGCGCGACUUGAUCUCCAACAUCUCCUUCGAUGCGCCGAUCACACUUCUCAACAUCUCGUCAUCUUUCUCGACCUAUGCUUUCCGCCAUCUUCAAUUUCCACUGAUUCUCAGCAGCAGCCCUGUCUCACUCUGUUUAUCCUCGUCACUUUGAUCGUAACCCCUAGUCGUGCCCUCAUCACUUCCUUCUUCUUCUUCUGA